UGUACGACUCUCGGCAACGGAUAUCUCGGCUCUCGCAUCGAUGAAGAACGUAGAGAAAUGCGAUACUUGGUGUGAAUUGCAGAAUCCCGUGAACCAUCGAGUCUUUGAACGCAAGUUGCGCCUGAGGCUUUCGGUUGAGGGCACGCCUGCCUGGGCGUCACGC
rnacentral:rRNA from 1 species